rnacentral:lncRNA from 1 species
AACCAGGAGUGUAUUACAGUCAUCCAAACAACAGAUCUUUAUUAAAUGAGUGAUCUUUAUGUUCUGUGUACUCACCAGGUACCAGGCAUCAUUAAGGAAAGCUUUGGGUUUUGUGUUGAAUAUUUUCACAAUCAUAUGAGAGAGGAGAAACAGCCUCAGAGAAGUCAAGUUCAUUGCCUAGGCCCACACAGUUUACAGAGGACAGAAUCGCAAUUUGAGCCUCUCUCUGCCCUUUUCCAAGCCCUGGGUAGUCUACGACAUGUUAUCAAGCUUCAUGACUGCAGCAUUCUCAACAUUAACUCCUUCCAGGUGAUUGCAGUACAUGGUAAAAUUUAGGAACGAAUGUGCAGCUCAUCCCGACAUCUCCGCCCUGAGUCUGCACUCAGGAGCAACCUCGUGGUGGUGAAUUUGAUUUGACGGGUGUCUGGCAGGAGAGGAGGGUAGCAUGGCUGGUGUACAAGAGUAA